rnacentral:lncRNA from 10 species
GCCGACUUUUCUUUCACUUUCACUUAGAGCAAGAUGGCAGCCCGCGUCCCUGUGUGAAGCCGUCUGCAGCAGCUGCCAGAGCCCUGCUUGCUGUUUCCUUUCUCACCACCCACCUCACCCGGAAAUCCCCUGGUGAUUUCAAGACCUGACCUCUGCACCCUUUUGCUCCCCACCUGUCCCAAAAAAGUGGAGCUAUAACUGUGGGAAAAGGGGAUCUGAAGUCAGACACAGGAUCCACAGUAGCCUGGGGACCUUUCUCACCCCCGCCCUUAAGCAGGCCCCAACAUAACCGGCUGAGAAACCUCCUCUGCCAGAUCCUGACCUGAGCCAGGAGGCGGCCAGGAAACUGGAUUUUGGGACUGGGAUUUCAGAGAGGAAGCUGGAGAGCUGCAGGGUGGUCAUCUGUCACUUUAUUUUGCCCGUCUUGUAGCAUUCUCGAAAAGGCACUCUGUCACGUGUACACAGGAAAGGGCCCUGACAAGAGGAUGGGACUGCAGUUGUGGCUGCCAGGGCCCCGGCCAGGGUGAAAACAAGGAACAUUCCAGAGAAGAUCACAAGGAUGCGAAUAAAAUCGGAGCUGCACAGGGAUCUUUGGGCUGAGCUUUCUGUCUGGCUUCCCUCCUGGCCCCUCGUGUAUGCAUUCUCUCUAGCGGUGGGGAUUAAGGAGAAAACUCACGUGGCCAGUGGGUAGAGAGAGUCCGGGCAGGCAGCUGCCUGAAGUCAGCCAGAGUCUGCAUGUGCCCAGCUGUCCUGGCCUCCAGCAUCUCUGGAAAAACAGAGACAGAAUGAGUAGCAGCAGGGGACCCCAUAGGGCACAUCUGAAGGCCUGAGAGGUGCUGGAUGGGAUGGGAAGGCAGAAACAGGCUGACCUUAUCUAGGGGUAGGAGUGGGGAGUACUGGUUGGGGUAUCACCGCUACCCCACGUGAUGGCACAGAGAGUUGCCUGGAACUUACCACUGACAUAAGGUUGGAGUGCAGUGGCACGAUCUCGGCUCAGUGCAACCUCCGCCUCCUGAGUUCAAGUGAUUCUCCUGCCUCAGCCUCCCUAGUAGCUGGGAUUACAGGACAAGGAGAGGGACAAAUUCCUUCUUGGCAUCCUUAUGGCCCUGUGACCUGCUAAUGAAUGCUGACUCUGAGUUGCUACUAGAAUUUGGUUUCCUUGUGGCUUCCCAGGAAUUGUGAGCCAUGUUGGAUAAGGACCUGCAAGGGAAGAAUGAGGAAGCCUGGGACAGUGCAGGAGGGGAGAGCACUGGUGGUAGAGAGGAGUGAUGACAAGGGUCUCCGCCAAAAGGGAAAUGGAGGGGUUAAAGAAGCUGCUGGGGAGGGUUAAAAACAAUGUGUUCUCACUCGUAGGUGGGAAUUGAACAAUGAGAACACUUGGACACAGGAAGGGGAACAUCACACACUGGGGCCUGUCGUGGGGUGUGGGGAGGGAGGAGGGAUAGCAUUAGGAGAUAUACCUAAUGUAAAUGAUGAGUUAAUGGGUGCAGCACACCAACAUGGCACAUGUAUACCUAUGUAACAAACCUGCACAUUGUGUACAUGUACCCUAGAACUUAAAGUAUAAUUAAAAAACAAAACAAAACAAAACAAAAACAAUGAGGUGCUAUUGUUUUAGUGGUGAGUAUCCGGAGACCUGGGGGUCUCACUCUGCUCACUCUGUCUCCCAAGCUGGAGUGCAGUGGUACAGUCACGGCUCACUGCAGCCUCCACUUCCUGGACUCAAGUGAUCUUCUCACUUCAGCCUUCUGAGUAGCUGGGACUACAGCCCCCUCUGCAGCUCUUCAUGGGGGUCCACUCAAGUCAGAAGCCACAUUUGGGUGUGAUUCAGAGAGCUGUUUAUGCAAAACCAGCUUUGUCACCAUCAGGCAAGGCACCUGAAUUCCCACCGCAGAGAGUGUUGUGGCCGUGAGGACUUUUCUGUCACCAGCCAUUUCCAGGUAGACCCAGUGUAAUCACAAGCAUCCUUGUAAGUGGCAAAGAGGCAGAGGAGACAGCGCCAGAGAGGCAGCUGCAUGAGAAGGAUCAAGAUGUUGCUGACUUUGAAGUUGGAAGAAGAAGGCCAUGAGCCUCAGUAUGUGGGCGGCUUCUAGAAGCUGGAAGGGGCAAGGAGAUGGAUUUGACCCUUCAGCCUCCAGGGGCAGCUGUACCUGCCAUCACUGAUUGUAGCCUGGUGAGGCCUGUUUUAGACUUCUGACCUGUAGAGCUGUAACAUAAUACAUUUGGGUUGUUUUCAACCACUAAGUUUGUGGUAAUUUGUUGUAGCAGCUGUAGAAAAUGAAUACAUAUGAAUCCUCUGGCAUUUGUUUGAGAUUUGCUCUAUGGCCUAGUAUGUGGUUGUAAAUGUUCCAUCUGUGCCUGAAAAAAUGUAUAUUUCUAAUUCAGUAGUCUCUGCUUUUUUUUUUUAUUUUGUACCCCAUCAAUAAAAUGAUUUUCAGCAUGUAUCCCCAAAUAAACAAUAUUUUAUUUAUUGAUUGAUUGAUAAACAGACAUGUUUAAUGAUAGCUUGCUUUUCACAGAGGUGACUUCGGAGACUUCUAAUCUAUAAUCCAGGAGUAUAUAACCAUG